rnacentral:rRNA from 1 species
CGGCCCCCCUGAACGCUGUCUGAAGUUGCAGUCUGAGACCUAUAACGAAAUUAGUUAAAACUUUCAACAACGGAUCUCUUGGAUCCGGCAUCGAUGAAGAACGCAGCGAAAUGCGAUAACUAAUGUGAAUUGCAGAAUUCAGUGAAUCAUCGAGUCUUUGAACGCACAUUGCGCCCUCUGGUAUUCCGGAGGGCAUGCCUGUCCGAGCGUCAUUG